UGGGAAUUAGCAGAAGGAAAAGGAACUGCUCUACUCCCACAUACUAUGCUUUGGGGUCUGAUUUAUCCUGUAACUACAGUGCAUCACAAGCCCAGUUUCUCCCAUCUGUUCCCAUCAGCACUUGGCUCUCUUCAAUCAGAUUUGGAGUAGAUAGCAGCACUACUGUAUUGCUCGUUAAUUUAAUCAAGCAAAAAAAAAAUCCUCUGGGGCACCAAUUUAAUUACAGAGAAGGUGGCUUUCAGUCCUGAGAGAGGCACAGAGCUUUCAGGGAACAGCCACAAGUCCCUUUAUUUAAUGAAGGGAGCUGGAAGUGAAGUGUGGCUUCUUGAUCUCCUCUGGUGGCUGCAUAGCCCUUUAUUUGGGUCAUUUGAACUAUCUAAUUAGCCCAAGCAAUGUCCCCCUUUUCUACAAAGGAUCAGGGGUUAGGAAACCCCUCUCCUCAGGAUUUUCUCUUACUUAGCCCAGCAUGGAGAAUCCUAUCCUGAGGCACCAACUCCCCCCCACACGUUCUAUAGUGAGUCUAAGCCCAGACCAGAGGAUUUCACUCCGAGGGUCAGGAGCCUUUGGCAGGCACCAUGGGUCUGAACCUUGCAACAUCCAAGUCCCUUUGAGGAACUAGGACUAAUUUUUUCUUCCCCAGGUCCCCCAAACUCACUGCAUCUGGCAUCUCCUAUCUUCCCCCUGCAAGUUUUUAAGCAGGCUUCACUCUUCCAAUCUUGCUAAUACUGCAGCUGAGUGAGACAGUAAGGACACUCUCAGACACUGCAUUUAACAACAAAACCUCAGUCAUCUCAUAUUCACUUCUGCUGCAGCUUCUCCUCUUGAGGAUAUGUCAUUUUUCAGAGUGGCACAGCUGUGACCUGUUCCCUCUACUCAAACAGGGUGCCACAGACUGUUCGUCUUAGCUGUCUAAUCAAGAUCACCCCUUGAGGAAGGAUGUUCUCAGUCAGAGUGCAGGGGGCUCUGAGAACACAGAGGGAAACAUGAAUUGCAGAUGUUGGGUCUGAGUUCAUCGGAUAUCACCUCUGGUGGAGCUCACCCAGAGCAUCAUCCUUAGAAGGGAACAAAUUUCAUCAGACAAGAAAAUACAACUCACCUUCCUUUUAGGCUGGUUACACACCUAAGGGUCUUCUAGGGGCUACAUCUGUCUCCUCAGUGGAAUGGGAGGAAGGCAAGAGGCACUUUCUUCUCCCUGCCACCUCCUCCCAGGCAGAUGCAUUCAGGUACAAAGUAGGUACAGUUCUUCCUUCCUCACAGGCCACAGCCACCACAUUGACUGGAACAACCAGCCAGGUCCUAUUUACACAUGCAGUGCUACUGUCUUAUCAUUGAUAAGAAAUGCCAUGUGUUCACACAUUCUCCUGCCAUGGCUCUGGGCAUCCUUCAAUGCAAGCUACCUCAGACAAUCGUACCCAUCCAGAAUCCACAGUACCUGCAGAUAAGGCUGUAUGCCUCAAGUACUGCCAGCAAAGGGUAACCCCUCAAAGAUGAAGCCUCAACUGUACCAAGACGCAUUUUAGACCUUUAGACUCUACUGCUGUUUCUUCUGGAGACAGCAAGGCGAUAGGAAUUGCUUCUGCUGUGUCACAAGCAGCCCAACAGCUCAGGGGAAGGAUGGGUGAGUUACCCUGCUAGCAUCAAUUUGCUUGGAGAGAGGUCCCCGUCUUCUAUUUGCCUUUUUGUCUCAAACUAAGAUUGGCACAGAUCCCUCCACACACACAGAAGCAAGAUAGCUUCUGCCUCUAGCCUGCCUGAUCCAAGCAGGAAACAACAAAGCCCAGCUUGACACCUGUGAAAGUCAUGUUGUGCAGGAUAAGAACAGUUACAGUGCUCUUCAAGAUCAGAGAGAAACAAUCCAGUUUUCAGAGACCUAGACACAAGCAAGAGGGACUCUGAGAAAAACAGACUCAUGGCUGCUUUAGGGGCUCAGAGACUCCAGCUGUAGCAGUGGUGGGAUUUUAAACUGCAUCUCAUCAGCUGCCUGCAAUCCUCUCUGCAGUGCAGAGUCCCAGCUUCACACAGCUACAAGAUGUAAAAUUCUCCUUGCCCUAAAGCAAAGGAGGUUUCCCCUAGUUCACCUUUGAAAGAAAAAACACCAGUUCAUGCAAGUGACAAUAUAAUUUUGUUUAUUUUCCUUUUAACACACUGCUGGUUAAAACUGCCAGGCAGUAGAUUUCAGAACAUUCCCUCAACCAAACAUCCUGGGAAAAAUUAAAAAAUAAACAGCUACAUGUACCAAAAAUAAAAUAACCCACCCCCACCUCUUUCCCCCAAAAACAAGUCUUUGCAAAGCCAAUGCAAUCAGAAAGAGACAUCUGUGCUUUUCACCCAGGGCCCAAGCUUGCUGCAAACAGAAAUAUCACUGUAAAUUGUUACAACACAAUGGACAGUAAAAAAACAAGAAAAACAAAACAAACAGACCUCCUUCAAAACCCUUUAGUACUGAUGACAAAUACAGAUGAAAAUUGCUCUCCAACUGCUUUCUCCUUCAUGGACAAUCUUAGGCUUGCAGCCUUGAGUAGCUUGCAACUGUGCUAUCUUUAAUGCCCAACAGAUCAACUCACUGCAAGAAGCCAGCAUCCUCAUAGCAGGAAGAGGCACAAAUGCUGUUUAUUAAGGCCCUGUCUACACAGCCAGCCAUUAACAGAGCAACAGGAAUCACAAUCAAGUCAAAAGACCUCAUUUCAACACAGUUAAGGGCUGUUGUGCAGGGGGGAAAAAAAAUCGAUGUCACUAUAACUAGGCUAAAACCCUGGACAGUUCAGGCUGCUGCCCCCCAGACCCCAGCCUGAAGCUGCUAAAACUUCUACUUUGGCUUCAUGCAGCCAGGGGCCAUUUCACAGACUGGAUAAGCAGCUAGGGCCUGAGUACAAGCUGCUCCAAACAAUUCUGAUCCUGCUUUACUAGUGAGCCUCCAGUGAACAUUUUACUCAGAGACCCUGGCCCAAACGUGUUUGACUGAGAGAAAAUGGCUGUGAUGAACAAAUAAACACUUCCUUAACACACAGAAAUAGGAAAGAAUGGUCAAAACCUUUUGCCCUUCUUAGAUUAAACACACACUUAGAAAAGCUUCCUGUUAAGAAACCCAUCCAAGUUGCUGUUUGCCACUUACACCAGGAGGAAUCUCCAUUAUGCAAUGCCCCGAGCAGAAGCCUUUGCUGGCUGUAGUGAAGCAUUCAAUAUUUCCUGAUCAGACAGCGCUGCUGUGAAGGGAGGAAAGCACUUCUGUUUUUUAAAUAAAGCACUUAUUGACAAAAUAAAUCAGACGCUAUUAAUAAAUCAGCAAGGAGAGUCCUGUUGACCAAGCCAAGGACAGCUCACCAGGUGGCAUUUUUCCCAGUUCUCCAAAAAUAUUCCUUAAUGUACAGCUAUAAACUCUGAGCAAGCCAGAGUCCAGGAAGACGCAGGCCAGCUUCAAACUCCUCUGCACAAACCAGCACUAGAAGUUAAGUGCAUUUAUUACUGUAUGCAUGGGAUGAGCCCAUUCAGCGCUGAUAUGAAACACCAAUCCCUUCCCCUUAGGCCAAGAUCAGGAACUAGGGAGGCAGCACAAAGGGCCCAUUAUUAAUAUUAAGCUCCAUCCUAUAUGGGGAGUUCACAGCUCCAUCUCAUAUUGUCGUGUCCCUCAGGUAUACCUGUCUAAGCUCAUUUAGAACUACCCACUAAAGAGAGUCAAGUGGAAAUGGACCAAGGUGAAAGAGGCAGGCCUAUUAGACCUUGCACUUUUGAGCAUAAAACACAGCCAGUGGAAGAACUGAGCCCACCUUUCCUUGGGUUCCCAGAGAAAUGGGCUGAGUGGAUACAAAGAGAGGACAGACACUCCUGGGAUUUGAUAUAUUUGUUCUCAGAGGCUAAUCCUCACACCUUGCACACAAGCUCCUGAGAGGAGUUCUCUCUCAGGUAACAAAGGGUUACUAUAGUAUCAGGCUAUAGCUGAAACUAGACUCUGCUUCCCAUGUUAUUGCCAGCCUACCCCAAUAAGCCCAGGUGCAAAGCACUCCAAGGUGGCAGUCUGCUCCUAGUUUAGAGCCUUGCUGGACCAGACAGUGCAGCGAAAAGCCCAGGGCCAGCAAGGUUCCAAUGGCAGGAUGGAGUCGAUGCCAUGACCCAAACUACGCUGUUCAUGUAGAAACAGAUUUGGAGGCAGCUCAAAGCCACAUUGCUACCCAACAGCUGACCAUGAGUCUUGUCAAACCUUCAACAGGUCUAUAGGCAAGUGAAUGUAAUGCAUGUUAAAUCUGUCAAGCAGCACCCGGCUAUUCCCACCGGGCACCUGCACAAUUCUGCCCAUGUAUUUUGCAAUGUGGCUUGGGAAAUCCCUAGUCCUCCUCCAGGAGCCUUCACUGGAGACUGCUUUGAGGAGGCCAACCCUGAAAGAGUACAUCAUCUCUUCCAGCACCCAUCACUCUAUUCAGAGACAGCAAGAACCAGAGCAGAAGACACCUGCAAGCAGCUCUGCACUGAAGCUGAGAUGUACCAGAGCAAAGAGACAAUGAGACGGCUCCCCUGUUCCUCACAGGGGUACAAGUGUCUGAGCAGGGACAGCUGGAUCCAGGAAACAGAUUUAAAAUUAAAAAAAGAGAGGAAAGAAGGUCCUUAGAACAGAAGCUUCUUCAAACUUAUCUGUAAUUAAAUGAUACAAAGGCACCAGAAAUGAACAAAAGGAUUCGCUUUGGCAUUCUGCUCACUUCCACAUGGGACCGGGCAGAUGCUGUUCUAGUUGUACAAACACCAUGGAGCAGUCACAGGGUUAGCUAACAGCUACUGAAGCCAGGGAAUUUAAAGUUAAGGAUAAACAGGCCUUUCCUUCCCCAGCUGGCCUGAACAAUACACAGGGCUCAGUCCCAUACUCCUUGCAUGCCUUCUACUGCCAUUAGCAGGAAGCUGGGGCACAGAGAGCAGGGGUAGGUAAAGCUGCCUGCUACUCCAAAACCCUGCCUCUGGGAACAGAGGAAAGGGUAUGGUGUAAAAAAAACAAAAACAAAAACAAAAAACAAACAAACAAACAAAAAACACCACAAAAAAAACCAAACCCCCAACCAUUGGAAUCUUCCCUUUGGGAAGCCCAGAAUAUCAGCCCAUGCCUUUGGGGAGAUUUAAACGUGUAUUUUGGAGCAGGGUACUUGGCUGAAACAACCAUUUAAACAAUCUGCUCCACAGCACACAGUAACCUCCAAAAUCAAUAUCCUCCAGUGAAUUAUGACUGGUUUGUCCCAUGUCUGCCCUCCAUAUGACUGUAAAGGCAGGUGCUGAGGGCUUAGGCCCAUCAUUACUUGCUGCUGGUUAUCUGUAGGCAAUCUGAAGUCUGUUCAUACACUUUAAUGUUUCUAUUUGGUCCCCAAAUAUCUAGGAAACUGUGUUAUGUGCUUCCAGCACACAAGGUUGCUGAACCACUCUGAGUUUAGAGAAGCAGAACAGCAGCCGUAAGUUUUACACACUUUCAAAAGGAAAGCAGCCAGACAAAGCUUAGGACAAGCAGAAGCCAUCACUGGUGCCUACUCACUUCCAUCACGUACCAGCUUUGGGGAUUCCUAGAUCAGCAGGCAAAGAAGGGAAGUACGUUUCCUGCAAGUCACAAAUAGCUCUGCACACUAGUUUUCAGGCUGGGAUAUGCAGGGCUCUUUGCACCUUGCCAUACAUGUUCAUUCUUAACCAUUCAUCCCCAAAUACAAAUGGAAACCAACAGCAAAAGGCAACAGCUGAAUGAAGAUAUUUCCCAAUAAAUCAACAAUAGACAUAUAACUCUAUAUUCUCCCAGAAUCAGGUACCUAGUCAGUCUUUACCCACCUGAUGUGCAGAUGCCAGACAGGAAGAGGUCCAAGCAAAGCCAGCCAAAAAAAAAAAAAAAAAAAAAAA